CCAGCAGCCGCGGUAAUACGUAGGUGGCAAGCGUUGUCCGGAUUUAUUGGGUUUAAAGGGUGCGUAGGCGGCCUAUUAAGUCAGUGCUGAAAUAUCCCGGCUUAACCGGGAGGGUGGCAUUGAUACUGAUGGGCUUGAGUGGAUUCGAGGUAGGCGGAAUUGACGGUGUAGCGGUGAAAUGCAUAGAUAUCGUCAAGAACACCGAUAGUGUAGACAGCUCACUAGACUGCAACUGACGCUGAGGCACGAAAGUGUGGGGAUC
rnacentral:rRNA from 1 species